GUAGCGGUUAUUAGCGGUUGGC
rnacentral:siRNA from 1 species